rnacentral:rRNA from 1 species
CCAAGGAGUCUAAUUAGGCAUCGAGUCGAUCGGUCUUGAUAGGCCAGACUGGAGCAAUUGAGUUCUAAAUGAAGGCACAGAGAAAUCAAAUCAUGUGAUCAUUUCAACAAUACCAGUUGAUUUGCGCAACAUGUACCUGCUCGUAUAGCAAUGUGCAGCAAUGUACUUGCUGGGCGGAGUAAAGAGAUGCUUGAUUGGUACCCGAAAGAUGGUGAACUAUGCUUGGGCAAAUUGAAGCCAGAGGAAACUCUGGUGGAGGAUUGUAGCGAUUCUGACGUGCAAAUCGAUCGUCAGACCUGAGUAUAGGGGCGAAAGACUAAUCGAACCAUC